UGCAAUCAUACCAGCACUAAUGCACCGGAUCCCAUCAGAACUUCGCAGUUAAGCGUGCUUGGGCGAGAGUAGUACUAGAAUGGGUGACCCCCUGGGAAGUCCUCGUGUUGCACU
rnacentral:rRNA from 1 species